UCGAGAAUCUUUCGCAAUGGGCGAAAGCCUGACGAAGCGACGCCGUGUGUAUGAUGAAGGCCUUCGGGUUGUAAAGUACUUUCGCUAGGGAACAAGAGAGGCUGGCUAAUAUCCAGCUAAUUUGAGCGUACCUGGUAAAGAAGCACCGGCUAACUCCGUGCCAGCAGCUGCGGUAAUACAGAGGGUGCAAGCGUUAAUCGGACUUACUGGGCGUAAAGGGUGCGUAGGCGGAAGGAUAAGUUAGUUGUGAAAGGCCUGGGCUUAACCUAGGAACUGCAAUUAAGACUGUCCAUCUAGAGUUGAGUAGAGGGGAGCGGAAUUUCCGGUGUAGCGGUGAAAUGCGUAGAUAUCGGAAGGAACAUCAGUUGCGAAGGCGGCUCUCUGGACUCAAACUGACGCUGAGGCACGAAAGCGUGGGUAGCGAACAGGAUUAGAUACCCUGGUAGUCCCUGAGCGGGCUGGCAAGGCGCAU
rnacentral:rRNA from 1 species